rnacentral:rRNA from 1 species
MRMGAAACCUCCGCAAUGUGAGAAAUCGCGACGGGGGGAUCCSAAGUGCCAUUCUUAACGGGAUGGCUUUUCAUUAGUGUAAAGAGCUUUUGGAAUAAGAGCUGGGCAWGACCGGUGCCAGCCGCCGSGGUAACACYGGCAKCUCUAGUGGUAGCAGUUUUUAUUGGGCCUAAAGCGUCCGUAGCCGGUUUAAUAAKUCUCUGGUGAAAUCCUGCAGCUUAMCUGUGGGAAUUGCUGGAGAUACUAUUAGACUUGAKAUCGGGAGAGGUUAGAGGUACUCCCAGGGUAGAGGUGAAAUUCKGUAAUCCUGGGAGGACCGSCUGUUGCGAAGGCGUCUGACUGGAACGAUUCUGACGGUGAGGGACGAAAGCUASGGGCGCGAACCGGAUUAKAUACCCGGGUAGUCCUAGCUGUAAACGAUGCGGACUUGGUGUUGGGGUGGCUUUGAGCUGUCCCAGUGCCGAASGGAAGCUGUUAAGUCCGCCRCCUGGGAAGUACGGUCGCRAGACUGAAACUUAAAGGAAUUGGCGGGGGAGCACCACAWCGCGUGGAGCCUGCGGUUUAAUUGGAGUCRACGCCGGGAAUC